rnacentral:lncRNA from 10 species
AUUAACAUCCCGCUCCCGGUGGCGCAGGGGAGCCGGCCAAAGUUCCUCGCAAAGUGGCGAGCGAAGGAGCGCUGAGCACUGACGUCUGGGCUGGGGAGGAGCGGGUCCGAGCGAGGACGGAGAGGGGACAGAGGGAAAGGGAGGCGGGUGUCUUCCUCAGGAAUUUGAGCUGGGGAUCUGCAUCCUGGCCAUUGCAGUCCUUUAGCAUCCUCGCCGCGCCCUGAGCGCGCUGGAGGCUCGCAGGCUGCGCCCUCCCAGGGCUGAUGCCGCGUCCUGCUCCGCCGUUCUGGGACGUCGGGGACAAAAGUGGAGGAGACGGGAGAGCCCGGGCAGAAAAAGCAGGACGCGCGUCCCAGGUGCCCACCUCUUCGCUUUGAGGCGGGGGCGGUGGGAUGGAAUAUGGGUGCGCGAGGUCGGGGCUGGUAACUCUCGGAGGGGCACGGCCUCCACGCUGGGAGGGAUGAAUGGACGCUGGGCCCCGGCAAAUGAGGCGCUGUGGGUCCCCAGGAAGUGGGGUACCAGGCUCUACUCCCACCCCGGCCUCUGAAACGCUUCUCUCUCGGCCGCUAGCCUAGAGGCUGCCAGGGUUGGGCACUGUUCUCACUCACACGCUCACCUCUCUCGGGCAGUCCUCGAGAUAUGUGAAUGGUGGAAUGAAUGCUCUCACUGGGGCUGUGUCAGGAUGCGUUUUUAAAUUUUCUCAAAUUAAAUGCCAACCCCUCAUUCCCCACC